rnacentral:piRNA from 1 species
UGCCUGACCGUGCACACACACAGGAAGA